rnacentral:rRNA from 1 species
UACGAAGGGGGCUAGCGUUGCUCGGAAUCACUGGGCGUAAAGCGCACGUAGGCGGCUUUUUAAGUCAGGGGUGAAAUCCUGGAGCUCAACUCCAGAACUGCCUUUGAUACUGAGAAGCUUGAGUGCGGUAGGGAGAAGUGGAAUGGCUGGUGUAGCGGUGAAAUGCGUAGAUAUCAGUCGGAACACCGGUGGCGAAGGCGGCUUCUUGGGCCGUUACUGACGCUGAGGCGCGAAAGCCAGGGGAGCGAACGGG